GAACGGUUAAUAUCGAUCGAACGUGGAGCUCUUUGCUGGCAAAUCGUGGCGCUCGAUGGAGAAACGUCAUCGAAACGCCGGCGUCGAGUUGGAUCCGGAAUCUCACUUACACAUGACACCUCGAGGAUGGUCCCGACUGGAGUUCCGUCUACAAUUCCUCGUAACCGCCCUUCAAGAUAUGGUGCGAUACCCGGAGCAAAGCUAAUAACCAGCGAGUGACGAAAGCAACACCCACUUUUUUCCGAUAUUGCCAACGAGAAACGACGCGAACAACGAGAAUCGAAUAGAUCGACAACCGGAUGUGCGAUAUACCGCAGCGCCGUUCGCGGGAAUAAAGGAAAAGAAGGAUCAAUAAUAUAGUUUAGAAAUGAGAGAGAGAGAGAGAGAGAUAGAGAGAGUAGAGAGAUAUUAGAGAUGCUUCUCUCUCGCUUCACCAUAUUGCGCACCGAUGGACGGCGGAGGGCAAACUGUCAUCUGUCAUGCGCAGCUGUUUUCCCACUCUGCGCUCCGUCACGUGACGCCCCCCACUCCGCGCCCCGUCACGUGACCCGUGAUAGCGUCGCCUGGCGGUCAAAUGUCAACCAGAUUCAAAGUCGCACGCGUCUAGAUGUACUCCUCUUUUUCGUCAUGAUAAUUAUAGACUGAAGAAAAAUGUAUGGAAGAAGAGUUUACGAAAGAUGUGAGAAUUUUGAAGCUGUUUAAUAAUUCAUUGAAGACAUUGUUAUUCAUCAUAUAAAUAUAAAACAUCCAGCAUAUGGCAUCAGCAUUCUAGAAAAAAUUCGAGAAUAAAGGAGACAACCAACGAAGAAUUGUUUAAGUCUGCUGUGGACGACUUGUACAUUAUCUUUACAAAGCUUCUAUCUGUUCUAAACAUGUUGGAAUAUUUGAAACAAGGAUGCGACUACAGAUUCAGCGAUAAGUGUCGAAAAUGAUAUAAAAUUGCCUGUAAUGUGUGUAUUCUGCAAUAUAGACAACUUUUUGCAAGACAAACAGAAAACUAAUUGAGCUGAAAUUAUUGGAGAGACUCGUAGGAAAUGCAUUCACACAUUGUUAACUCAUAUUUUGAUAUCAAGAGUCAUAUAAUUCAAAAAACAUGUGACAACAUUUAACUUGUCAUAAUAGAUUUUAUUAGAAAAUUGGUUUGAAACUGUUGUCAUGUUAGCGGAUAAGAAUCUAUUUUAGUGACUUUUUGGAAACUAUUGCACUCAGUGUGAUGAUGAAAUCUGUAGUGCUAUGAAUAGAAAACAAAAAUUAUCUCUAUUUUCUAUGCCAAGAUAAGGAUCAAUCAUUUAUUCAACAUAAUAACAGCUACAAGAUGAUUAAUGCAUACGACUACCUGUUGAUUCUGCGCGUACGUGACUACCUGUUGAUUCUUCAUGCACGUAACCAUCUGUUGAUUUUGUGCGCAUACAACUAUCCGUUAAUCCAUUGGGAAAACAUGAUUAUUCUUAUUCUCCCAAGCAUCUUGUGGAUUUUCAUCUUCAUCAAGAGAUAUCAGCUUCAGAUAAAGUGUAUUCCAAAGAUUAAACAAAGCGCUCCGAAAUCAUUUGGUCGACUAGCAAGUUGAAGCUGUUUAAGAUGCAUUCGGAUCAUUAACAAGAUGAUAGCGACCAUAAUCAGAAAUACCAAUCAGCUGAUAACGACAGAUCGAUAUAUUUAGCUUUCCUAUUCUUGUAUCAAGGAUAUCGUUACAAAAUUCCAGGAGCAAUGAAAGUAUGCAAACUAUCCAGCAUGGAAAGUUGGGAUAUCAAGAGGAAUCGCGGGUAGGUAAAAUAGUUGUCUUUAAACGGGAUCGCUUCACGGAAAAAUUUCAGAUUCCAUUGUUCCACUGUAUAGUUUAAAAUCGAUUCAAAUUAUUAUUAUUUUACAACAUUAAUAUUUU